rnacentral:rRNA from 1 species
UCUUUCUUUGCUGGCGACCGGCGCACGGGUGAGUAACACGUAUCCAACCUGCCCUUUACUCGGGGAUAGCCUUUCGAAAGAAAGAUUAAUACCCGAUAGCAUAAUGAUUCCGCAUGGUUUCAUUAUUAAAGGAUUCCGGUAAAGGAUGGGGAUGCGUUCCAUUAGGUUGUUGGUGAGGUAACGGCCCACCAAGCCUUCGAUGGAUAGGGGUUCUGAGAAGAAGGUCCCCCACAUUGGAACUGAGACACGGUCCAA